AGGGGAGAUGCCUCCCCCCACCCCUAGUUAGUGUAGGCUGUUCCCGGAAGGGCAUCCUGCCUCUCCUCUGUUUCCAGCAGGCACCCACUGCAGUCAGGAGCCCAACUGGGUCCAGCCUCUACAGCCAUGGAUCCGAUCUGGUCUGGUUGAUGCCCUGCCUCGUGUUUAAUGCUCUCCUUGUCUCCUCUUUCUUCUUCGUUGUGGUUUUCCGUCCGCUGGGCAGGAUCAUGCCGGACCAGAUCACUGUGCCGGAGUUUAUUGCUGAGACGACAGAAGAUUACAAUUCCCCAACUACGUCCAGUUUUACCACCCGGCUACAGAACUGCAGGAACACAGUCACGCUGCUAGAAGAGGCCUUAGAUCAGGACAGAACUGCACUACAAAAAGUGAAAAAAUCUGUAAAAGCAAUAUAUAAUUCUGGGCAGGAACAUGUCCAAAAUGAAGAAAGCUAUGCACAAGUGCUAGAUAAAUUUGGAAGUAAUUUCUUAAGUAGAGAUAAUCCAGAUUUGGGCACUGCUUUUGUAAAAUUUUCCACGCUGACUAAGGAAUUAUCAACACUGCUUAAAAAUCUGCUUCAAGGGUUGAGCCAUAAUGUUAUCUUCACCCUGGAUUCCCUCUUGAAAGGCGAUUUGAAAGGAAUUAAAGGGGAUCUCAAAAAGCCCUUUGAUAAAGCCUGGAAAGAUUAUGAGACCAAAUUCACAAAAAUUGAAAAGGAAAAAAGGGAACAUGCAAAACAACAUGGGAUGAUACGAACAGAGAUUACUGGAGCUGAGAUAGCAGAAGAAAUGGAGAAAGAGAGAAGGCUGUUUCAGCUCCAGAUGUGUGAAUAUCUCAUUAAGGUUAAUGAAAUCAAGACAAAAAAGGGUGUGGACCUUUUACAGAAUCUUAUUAAGUAUUAUCAUGCACAAUGCAAUUUCUUUCAAGAUGGCUUGAAGACAGCUGAUAAACUGAAACAGUACAUUGAAAAACUAGCUGCUGAUUUAUAUAAUAUAAAACAGACACAAGAUGAAGAAAAGAAACAACUCACUGCACUGAGGGAUUUGAUAAAGUCCUCAUUACAGCUUGACCAAAAGGAGGAUUCACAGAGCAGGCAAGGAGGAUACAGCAUGCAUCAGCUUCAGGGUAAUAAAGAAUAUGGCAGUGAGAAAAAGGGUUAUCUUUUAAAGAAGAGUGAUGGCUUGCGGAAAGUUUGGCAGAGGAGGAAAUGCACAGUUAAAAAUGGCAUUCUGACCAUAUCGCAUGCAACUUCAAACAGGCAGCCUGCUAAAUUAAAUCUGCUCACGUGCCAGGUGAAGCCAAAUGCUGAAGACAAGAAGUCAUUUGACUUGAUAUCACAUAACAGAACAUACCACUUUCAGGCAGAGGAUGAGCAAGACUAUGUUGCGUGGAUAUCAGUAUUGACCAACAGCAAAGAAGAAGCUUUAAAUAUGGCCUUUCGCGGAGAACAGAGCACAGGGGAGAACAGCCUAGAGGAUCUUACUAAAGCCAUAAUUGAUGACAUUCAGAGAUUGGCUGGAAAUGAUGUCUGUUGUGACUGUGGAUCACCAGAUCCAACAUGGCUUUCAACUAACCUGGGUAUUUUAACCUGUAUAGAGUGUUCCGGAAUACACAGAGAAAUGGGUGUUCAUAUUUCUCGAAUCCAGUCUUUAGAAUUGGACAAAUUAGGAACAUCUGAACUCUUGCUGGCCAAGAACAUAGGAAAUAAUAGUUUUAAUGAAAUUAUGGAGGGAAACUUACCAAGCCCCUCUCCAAAACCUACUCCAUCAAGUGAUAUGACUGCACGUAAAGAGUUUAUCACUGCUAAAUAUGUAGACCAUAAGUUCUCCAGAAAGACCUGUGCAUCUGCAGCAGCUAAACUGAAUGAACUGCUAGAGGCUGUCAGAUCCAGGGAUUUACUUGCACUAAUCCAAGUCUAUGCAGAAGGAGUUGAACUAAUGGAGCCACUGUUAGAGCCUGGACAGGAGCCAGGUGAAACUGCUCUUCAUUUAGCAGUCCGGACUGCUGAUCACACCUCACUCCAUCUGGUUGACUUCCUUGUACAAAACUGUGGAAACCUGGAUAAGCAAACAGUGUUGGGGAAUACAGUUCUACACUAUUGCAGUAUAUAUAACAAGCCAGAAUGUUUGAAGUUGGUCUUGAAGGGCAAGCCAACUUUACAUACAGCAAAUCAAACUGGGGAGACUGCCCUGGACACGGCAAAGAGACUGAAAGCUAUCCAAUGUGAAGACCUGCUUUCUCAGGCCAAAGCCGGAAAACUAAAUCCACAUGUGCACAUUGAAUAUGAGUGGAAUCUUCGGCAGGAAGAAAUGGACGAAAGCGAUGACGACCUGGAUGACAAGCCUAGUCCAAUAAAGAAAGAGCGUUCUCCAAGACCCCAGAGCUUUUGUCACUCUUCCAGUAUUUCUCCCCAAGACAAAAUGGCUCUUCCUGGUCUUAGCACUCCACGGGACAAACAAAGACUUUCCUAUGGCGCCUUCCCGCACCAGAUCUUCGUCUCUGCGAGCGUAGACUCUGCAACUUCUCCAACAGUGGUAGAUGGCCCUCCGCUUCCUCCACGAAACGCUGGAAAAGGUCCAUCGGGCCCUCCUUCAACCCUCCCAUUAAGCACUCCAGCCUCUAGUGGCAGCUCCACUCUGUCUAAGAAGAGGCCCCCACCCCCUCCCCCGGGACACAAAAGAACCCUAUCAGACCCACCCAGCCCACUACCUCAUGGGCCCCAGAAUAAGGGCCAAGUGUCUUGGGGUAAUGAUUUGGGUCCACCAGCCACAAAAACAGCAAACAAGUUUGAGGGGAUGUCUCAACAAUCAGGCACCGGGACUGCUAAGACGGCCCUGGGCCCCAGAGUGCUUCCGAAACUACCUCAGAAAGUGGCAUUAAGAAAAAUAGAAACAAUCCAUCUUCCCUCACUAGAUAAAUCCAGUCACCAUUCUGAAAUCUUUCAGAAGUCAGCCUCUCUCUGUAUUGACCUGCCCCAGAAGCCCCAACCUGCAGAUUUACCCCCCAAGCCGCAAUUGGGGGAUCUCCCUCCAAAACCACAACUUGCAGACUUACCUCCAAAACCCCAAAUGAAGGAUCUUCCUCCGAAGCCACAACUAGGAGAAACUUUGGCAAAAACUCCUGGUGGGGACGCAUCCCCCAGACCUCAGCCCUCAGAGGCCAAUCAGAAAUCACCCAGUGUGGAUCUUUCCCCAAAGAUACAGUCAAAAGAGAUUGUCCAGAAACAAGCAUCUGAAGAUUCUGGAGAUACCACCCCUGGAUCAGCUGAAACCCCUGUGCCACUUCCUAGAAAAAUAAACAUGGGGAAGAAUAAAAUUAGGAGGGUGAAGACAAUCUAUGAUUGCCAAGCAGAUAAUGAUGAUGAGCUUACAUUUGUUGAAGGUGAAAUUAUUAUUGUAACAGGAGAGGAGGAUCAAGAGUGGUGGAUUGGCCACAUUGAAGGGAAGCCGGAACGGAAGGGGGUUUUCCCAGUAUCCUUCGUCCACAUUUUGUCAGACUAAUCAGAAACUCGAGUAUUGCACAUUGUUCCUGCAAGUCGGGCUUUAAGCACGAAGCCAACAGCUGCUGCUGCUGCAUUCCUGUAAUUCUGUGCAUAGUUGUUGAUAUGGAUGUAUAUAUGACUGCUGUUAACAAAGCAAGAACUCGUUCCUCCCCAUACAAGGGGCUCAUAUUGUAUUGUAAAUAGAAGGUGUUUCUUUGCCAUUGCCAGUAUUAUGGUCAUUGUGGGAGCUGGCAUGCCUUACUGGGUUGCUCAGGCCAUUCGUGGCAUCAAGCACUUAAAUUUUUGUCUGUGUGUAUGAACUGCCAGCUUUCUGAAUAAACUGUUAGUCCCAUCCAGUCCCUUUCCGCUGUACAGAAUUUACCGUUCCUAAUACAUCAGUAUUCUUGACGUAGAUAACUAGCAGAGUUACUCCUGGGUUUUCGAAAGGAGCUGCUGACGGCCGUGGAUGACUUCCACCGUGCGCAGUUUACAGCUUGUGAAAUCCACUCCCUUGGUAUUGUUUAAAAAAAAAAAUGUGUCCGGUGUAUCCAUCCAUCCAACACAAGAAAUAUGCACUGAUGCUACAGGUAACCAGUACUAAUUUUAUGGUCUGUGGGCCACAUUUCCUGUUCGUAUUCCUGUAACUGCAGUUUCUUCCUGUGCUCUUUACCUCACUUGACUCCAUCUGAACGUCUUCAAUAAAAAUGAUUCAGUCUCGCAAAGAAAAAUAUAUGAGACUUCUGGCUGGAGGUUUUAUUGUAGUGAACCAGGGUCUCAUUAUAAAGUACAUUCCUACUUGCAUGGCUUUGCUUUCCUCCUUACAGUCUCCGUUUAUGCAAGAGCAUUACCAGCAUCGCUUGCCUUUCACUUUCAAAGCGUGCAGCUUUGUGGUAAUCUGUUUACCACCCAGAUUGAAAUACCAGCUGAUAGGAGUAUUCGUUUGCUAACUAAAGGGUUCAUUAAGGUGUUGGGGGAUUCCAACCUUCAUUCCAGGGAAGCCGUAUUAAGUUGCAAUGUUCCUCUUGCAUUACUGCCUGGAGAAAUCAAAAUCGUUAGCAAAACAAUUGAACAAUACCUUUCCUGAAAAAUAGCAGCCGUCAGAGAAGCCACAGGAACAUCUGGAAGUUUGCCUUUCUGAAUUGAACAGUGCCAAGGAUCUGGCAGCCGCGGAAUUAAUAAUUUAGGAAGGACACGUUUGGACCUGAGAUUAUUAGACUGCUAAAAUUUCAUGACGGCAGCUUCAACUCAUUUUUUCAAAUCAAUGUAGCAAGGACAUACUCAUUUCGGAUACACAUUUAUUGGUUAGGACUGUGCGUGCUCCCGACACUAUUUGGAAGAAGGGCUUCAGAUUUUGCGCAAUUGCCACACCUCUCUGCUGCUCAGUCAGGUUGUCUCCCUUUCUCAGAUUUCUGCAAGUCCCUGAAAAAAAGUGCCAUUGCUUUCACACUAAGGAACUGAAUCCUUAAAGCGGCAGUACCUUUGUUUUUUAACAGACUUGCAGAGAAGCCUGCGAAAGACAGGAUGAUAAACAGCUGAGAUUUGCUGGGCCAAACCACUUCUUCCUAAUCAUAUUCAAAAUAGAUAAGCCCUUUUGGGGGGAGAAGGAUGGGGGCUAGUGUUUUGCUAUGCAUUUUGUAAUUUUAUUGGGCAGAUAUCGGUUGAGAAAUACUGGGUUAAAAAAGUUACUUUGCCAAUAGCCCAAGUUUCAUUUCCUGUAGAGCGGUCCGUUGAAAUUCCAUCCCACAACGAUUCGUUUCACCCAAAGUUGCAAUUAAUCUGUUGCUUUUGCUGUGGAUGUUUUACAAAACUCAGUGCUUAUUUUUAAGUGGUUAACGUGCAAAACGUAAUCAGUUUAAGAACUCUUGCAUGAAGGAAAGCGAAGUAUUUAUCAGCUCUGAUUGGAAGGUGGUUUUCAAACAAUUGUUUCGGCCGGGUCACGGCACAUUUUGUUGAAAGGUUUAAGCGUACAAACGAACAAGCGAGCCUGCUGCCAACGUCAGUGUUUUCAGACUUAUGCUGUUUAUAUAAAAGCUAGAACAAAACUGACUUAGCAUUCCAUAUUGCUUGUUGAUGAAACGUCCUUCCGGUUAAUGGAGAAAACUCAUCUACUUUGUCAAGCGUAUUUUAAAACAAACUCAAAGUCCACUGGUUUUCAAAAAAGAUAAAAGUGAACAUAGAAAGAUGUGUAAAAUGAUGUAGAGUCAAAUGUCUAUUAUUUUGUAAGCUUUUUGAAGUAGCAUAUAAAUUUUUUAAAUAAAAUGAGUUCCAUCCGGAACAAGAGCUAUUUGAUUUAGAGUCCAUAGGAUAAUUAAGAUGCAAUGUAUGAUACAUAGGUUGAGUUUAAAUACAAGGUUCUAUUUAAACUCGGAGUCACUAUCUGCAAUUUUGUACGUUUCAUGAUCUAUUUGGAAAGCCUGCUUGUUUGGGGUUUUCCCCCCAGGGAGGGAAGUACCUUCUGGAAAUGAUGUGUUCUCUUACUGUUGAACAGCGAUCGCUAUUUAUUUUUUUAUGACAUACUGCAACCACAUGUAAAAGAAAACAGACCUUAUAGUACCAGUUGAUACUGAAACCCCCUUUGAAUGUUACAAUCGUACAUCCGUACAUUGGUUUCCUUACGUGUUUAAUGUGACCGUUUGAGUACUGUGUGUGUUAAUUUCUACUUUUUUAAUAUUUAAAAUUGCUUUUAAAUAAAUGUAUUCAGUUGA